AGGACGAACGCUGGCGGCGUGCUUAACACAUGCAAGUCGAACGGAAAGGCCCGCUUGCGGGUACUCGAGUGGCGAACGGGUGAGUAACACGUGGGCAACCUGCCCUCAGCUUCGGGAUAACACUUGGAAACAGGUGCUAAUACCGGAUAAUAACUUUUCAUCGCAUGGUGUGGGGUUCAAAGUUUUUCGGCUGGGGAUGGGCCCGCGGCCUAUCAGCUUGUUGGUGGGGUAAUGGCCUACCAAGGCGACGACGGGUAGCCGGCCUGAGAGGGCGACCGGCCACACUGGGACUGAGACACGGCCCAGACUCCUACGGGAGGCAGCAGUGGGGAAUAUUGCGCAAUGGGCGGAAGCCUGACGCAGCGACGCCGCGUGAGGGAUGACGGCCUUGGGUUGUAAACCUCUUUCAGCUCUGACGAAGCGCAAGUGACGGUAGGAGCAGAAGAAGCACCGGCCAACUACGUGCCAGCAGCCGC
rnacentral:rRNA from 1 species